rnacentral:rRNA from 1 species
GAGACCCACGCCCACAGUUGCCAGCGUAUUCUCUGGAAUGACGGGUACACUGUGGGGACCGCCGCUGCUAAAGCGGAGGAAGGAAUGGGCAACGGUAGGUCAGUAUGCCCCGAAUGUCCCGGGCUACACGCGGGCUACAAUGGUUGGUACAAUGGGUAUCUACCCCGAAAGGGGAUGGAAAUCUCCUAAAGCCAAUCUUAGUUCGGAUCGAGGGCUNCAACUCGCCCUCGUGAAGCUGGAAUCCGUAGUAAUCGCGUUUCAAUAUAGCGCGGUGAAUAC